rnacentral:rRNA from 1 species
UACAGGGGGUGCAAACGUUGCUCGGAAUCAUUGGGCGUAAAGCGCACGUAGGCGGUUCGUUAUGUCGGAUGUGAAAGCCCUUGGCUUAACCGAGGAAGUGCAUCCGAAACUGGCGAGCUAGAGUACGAAAGAGGAUCGCGGAAUUCCCGGUGUAGAGGUGAAAUUCGUAGAUAUCGGGAGGAACACCGGUGGCGAAGGCGGUGAUCUGGGUCGAUACUGACGCUGAGGUGCGAAAGCGUGGGGAGCAAACAGG